rnacentral:rRNA from 1 species
AUUGAACGCUGGCGGCAGGCCUAACACAUGCAAGUCGAGCGGAUGAAGGGAGCUUGCUCCUGGAUUCAGCGGCGGACGGGUGAGUAAUGCCUAGGAAUCUGCCUGGUAGUGGGGGAUAACGUCCGGAAACGGGCGCUAAUACCGCAUACGUCUUGAGGGAGAAAGUGGGGGAUCUUCGGACCUCACGCUAUCAGAUGAGCCUAGGUCGGAUUAGCUAGUUGGUGGGGUAAAGGCCUACCAAGGCGACGAUCCGUAACUGGUCUGAGAGGAUGAUCAGUCACACUGGAACUGAGACACGGUCCAGACUCCUACGGGAGGCAGUAGUGGGGAAUAUUGGACAAUGGGCGAAAGCCUGAUCCAGCCAUGCCGCGUGUGUGAAGAAGGUCUUCGGAUUGUAAAGCACUUUAAGUUGGGAGGAAGGGCAGUAAGUUAAUACCUUGCUGUUUUGACGUUACCAACAGAAUAAGCACCGGCUAACUUCGUG